AGAAGCUGAUAAAUAACACCAGAGCACUCUGAACUUCCCAAUCUGUUACCUUGUCUCCGAAGCAUAAUAUUUUCUUAAGACUCUCCCCGAGAUGCCCACUUAUCAUGAAGAACAGCUACAAAAUGUUCCAGCAAGUAUGAUCAGGUCCUGUGGGGUCUGAUUCAUCACCAGAGGGCCUCCUGUCCUGGUCACUCAGAUGUCUUCGUCCUCAGUGCUCAGAAAUUUGAGAUCAAAACCAGAUAGAUUAGCCUGGGUGCUGUCUUCAGUCACUUGCAUGCAUCUUGCAAGCUCCUUUCUGAGGUGAGCAACCCACAAAUAUUCAGUAUUUGGAGCUAGAGGAAAUGAAAUUCAUCAUCUUCAGUUCAUGCAUGCUUUUAAUACCUACUCCCAGUGGGGUGCCUGGGUGGCUCAGUCAGUUGAGCCUCUGACUCCUGAUUCAGCUCAGGUCAUGAUCUCAGGGUUGUGACAUCAAGCCUGCAUCCGGCUCAGGGUAGAGUCCGCUUGAGAUUCUUUUCAUUUGCCCUCCCUCUGCUCUCUGGCUCUCUGGCUCUCUCACUCUCUCUCAAAUA
rnacentral:lncRNA from 1 species